GAAAGCCAAGGGUAAGUGGAAGCCCAAGGAUGAAACCCAGAGCUCUGCUGUUGCAGAGAUGUGCCAGAGCUGAUUUCUCCAUCUCCAGAGGAAGAAAUAACUAAGCUGACAUCCAAAGACUUAGAAAAAGAGUGGGUGAGAAAGAAAUGUUUGAGAGGAGGGACAAUGUUAUCAAAGUUUCCUUGUUGCUUUUGAAAGGCACUUUGGGGGGAAAAAAGAAAGAAGCCAGUAGGAUCUUGCUUCAGAGUUAGGAAAGGUCUAUGUUUCUGGGUAGAAAACAAUAUAAGCCACUUCUCUCUGUCAGAUUGGAAAUGUGACUAGGAGUAACUUCUAAAUGCUACUUUUGGUACAGGGAAAGGAGUCCUGGAUUUGAAGUUGGAGAGGCCCAGAGUUUGAAUUGCAAUUCUGCCAUUUACUACCUCAAGUGACCCCGGCCAAAUAAUUUUACUCCUCUGGACCUCAGCUGCUUCAUUUCUAAAAUGAAGAGGGUGGACUAGGAGGCUUCCAAGGUUCCUUGGAGCUCAGAAUCCAUGUUCCUAUUCUAACAACUAGGUGGCAAGCAAGGCAUAGCCUACUGCCAAUCGAUUCUCCCUUCCACAUCUCUUUAAACCUAGGGUGCUAUCUAAGUGCAUUUUUGGAGAAGUUAUUUAACCUUCCUUGCUUCUGGCAAGAGCUUUCCCAGCCUCACAUGACCCUUGUGGGCCAUGGCUUUCUUUUGAAUGCUGCAGGAAGCCUGUGAGAGAAGCAAUGUUUGACCAAAAGUGGCUGUUCACUUCCAAAUUGCAGAUUGCUUCUGGCUCGUGAUUUCUUUUGAUUAAAUAAAGAAAAGGAAGGUUUCUAGAAAUAUCUUGAGUUCUGAUACUUUGGGUACUUUUCUCUAGGCUUGUGAGAGUCUAAUUUGUCCCCCUACUUGGCACUAUAAAUGUCUCCUCUCUGAAAUAGGAAGAUUCUCUCUCUCUCUCUCUCUCUCUCUCUCUCUCUCUCUCUCUCUCUCUCUCUCUCUCUCUCUCUCUCUUUCUCUCUCUCUCUCUCUCUCUCUCUCUCUCUCUCUCUCUCUCUCUCUCUCUCUCUCUCCCUCCUUCCUUCCCUCUCCCCUCUCCAUUCUUUCCCACUCCUCUUCUCCUUUUCCCCCUUUCUCUUCCUCUCACUUUCCUUCUCUCCUUUCCCCUAUCCUCUUCCUCUCCUCCAACUCCCACUCCUCUUACCCUUUCUUUCUCCUUCCUUUCUCCCUUCUCCUUUCCUGUCCUUCUUUCCCUCUCCCCCUUCCUGGCCUUUCCUUUCUUCUACCCCUCUCCUCAAACUAUUUAUAUGUAUGAACAUUUAGCAAAAAUGCAACAGUUACACUGAUCAACAGUUACAUAACAUUUAAUGACUUAGAAGAGAGAAUAUGUAUGCACUUAGGAUAAAGACUAAAGCUUUCUUGAUCCCAGAGGAAGGCAGGUAGUUUAGUUGAUAACCCACAAUUCAGCUGCCUCAGAGAGAAAAAAAAAGGAAAUAGGGGAAAUACAUAUCAUCUCUCUUCCUGGUCCUCAGUCUAUCAGGAACAAGUAUAGAUUUUGCUCACAUCAUGGCUAUGCUCAGGGCUCAACUCAUUUUACUACUUGCACUGGCUUGACCCCUGCCAUUAGUUCCCCAUGUUUCUCUCCCACAUUUAUUAAAUUUUUACUGCGCUCUGUACUGUGCUAAACUCUUGGAAAACCCAAGGGCCCUAUAUGGAAAUUGCCUUAGCGUUAAGGGCCUCUGAGCUCAAAUCUCAAAGAGCUUGUUGAAUAAGACUCUAUUUUAUUUCCUCUCACUUUACCAAGGGGACUGGAUUUGUAUUAUGACCUCCGUUUAUAUAGUGUUUUUAGGGUUGCCAAACUUUUAUAUACAUCACCUCAUUUAAUCCUUCUAAUAGUCUGGUAAGGUGAGUGAUACAGCUGUUCUUAUCUCCAUUUUACAUACGAAGAAGCUAAGAAUGAGAAGUGAAGUCACAGACCCAGGGGCGCACUUCAAGCCCAGGGCUCCCUAGCAACCAAAUAACCUAUCCACUGUGAAUGGUUUUCAUUUUUUUCCUCAGGCUCCACACCAGACUCUCUAGACUUUCUCUACUACAACCAUCAUGCCCUCAUACAGAUAUAUUCCUCAUCUAUUCCUCUUUCCUUUUAUGUUAUUUCCUCCAUUAGAAUGUAAGCCCCUUGAGGGCAAGGGAUUGUCUUUCUUUUUGCUUGUAUCUGUAUUCCCAAGCUUAGCACUGGUGCUUGGCACAUAGCUUAAUCAGGCUAUAAUAAUAAUAAAAAUGGAUAAAUAAUAAUAAUUAAGAAAACUUGAUACAAAUACUUAAUAAAGGCUUGUUGACCUAAUCAACUUGUCUAUGCCAUGCUAUAAGAAUUUCUCAAAAAAAGCAUUUUUAUAUCUGUUCCAUAGUCUGUGUCUCACAACUACCCUGCGAGGUAGGCAUUCAAUGUAUUAUUCCUAUUUUACAAAUUGGGAAACUGGGGUUGAGGGAGGUUACAUGAUUAGCUAUGAAUGACCAGAAGCAGGAAUCAAACUUAGGUUUUUUAAAUUAUUUUUCACUCUAUCUGCUAUUACAAAACCAUUACCUAGAGGUUAGAAUAAUGUUCCUGAAGUCUUUCAUUUGCUUGCCAGGUCAUCUGAUUCCAAAAGUGUAUAGUCAAAAGUAGCUCAUCACUUGGGGGAUUUCUGUCAUUUGGAAUGUUAAAAGAGGGAAUAGGGUAUGUGAAGUGGUUAAAAGAGUUCUUGAUAUAGCAUCAAGAGACCUUGGUUCAAAACCUGUCCAUGAUACUUAAUUAGCAGUGUGACAUUGGGUAAAUUGCUUCAUUUCUCCAAGUUUGUGUCCUUAUCCAAAUGUAGCAAAUCUAAUUCACACUCACAGGUUAUAUUAGAGAAGAGGGAAACACAAUCCCAGAUUCAAGUUCCUAGGUGACUUUAUCCUCUAAAUAAGUAGCCCCCAUUAGUACAUUUGCCUUAAAUUCAUCCAGUUGGUACAAACAAAUUAACAAAAGUAUUUACUAAAACAGAACACCUGUGGUGAAGUGGAUAGAGUGCCAGGCCUGAAGUUAGGAAGAUUCAUCCUCAAUCUGGCCUCAGACACUUACUAGUGUGUGACCCUGGGCAAAUCACUUAACCCUGUUUGCCUCAGUUUUGACUCUCCCCCUUGUGACCUGUCUGCCAAUCAGGGGAAGCAGUCGCUGGACAUAUCCUUCACAUCUCCAAGCAGGUUCCCAGCUACCUAGGACACAGGCAUUCACUGAGGACAUGUCCCUAAGACCCUGUGCCCACAGACUUUCCCUCCCUGUUAUCUUAAUCCUUUUUACUUUAGCUCUUAACUACCUGACCAUAACUAUUUCUUUCCUUAAAUUUUGGGUCUUCUCCUAUGUUUUAAAUCAUGCAUACCCAGCCAGCUGGACAUAUAAUUCUCUGAUUCGGCUUGGGGAAGCAGUAGCCAAAAUGGGCCCCUCUAACUGUUGGGUCUGUAUGAAGCACCCCAAAGUGGAAAGAACCCCAGGCCUCUAGCCCAAGGUCUCAGUGCCUCGGAGGUAUAUUCAAGACUUGAGGCUUUAAGGAGAUUAGCAACCACUCUAGUUUUGGCUACUCCCCUGUGGGAUAUGUGGACCUUGUAUUUGUAACCUUGUCAUCUCUCUAGUUGCUUCUAGAGUAAAAGCACUCAUGGGAGUCACCCAGAUGCCAGAUGCCACCAUAACCUCGGCAACCAUCCCAAACUGAUGCUCUGGACAAGACCUACAUACAGUCAAUACCUCUCUCCCCUAACAUUAGGCAGGGACAACUCUACACCCAUUCUCAGCUCUGAAGAAGUUACAGAAGACUCUGAGACCAUCAUCCCUUUUCCCUUACAUAUUAGGAGAGGGGGGAGAUGACAUGGGCACUGUACCCCCAGAAACCCAGGCUAACUAUUAUCAGGGAAACUCCCUUGCUUCCUUGCAUCCUUGUGACUAAACCUAGAAACACCCAAUGACCCCCCCCCCCCCAGGGCCCUGAGAUGUUUAUCCUCCUUGAUUGUCCUCUAGAUUUAAGAUGGACAAAGAGAUGAAUCUUUAUGCCUCCAGGCAGACCCCAGUCAGAUGACCACCCCAGCCCACCAAAUGCCUGAGGGAUUAGCACUCUAAAGUCACAUCAUCUGUUGUAAAGAGUAUAAAAACCCAAGAACUGAUAUCGUCUGGGGGACAGCUUUUCCACCCAUGCUGUCCCCAUGGGGAACAGCCUUUCCUUUCAUGCUGUCCUCCCAAGGAACUGCUCCCCAUCUUGCUGUCCCACCUUGCUAUCCUCCUGGCCAUUAUCAACAUUACUUCCUAAAUUAAUAAAUUUCUCUUUUUCUUUUUAAGCUAAGUUUUGGAGUCUUGCAUUCUUGUAAAAGGUAUCCUUCCUGAACCCCAGGGAUACACAUCUGAGCCCCCAUAACACCUGGCUCUUUGUGAAUCCUAAUUGGAAUAUUCUUAGGAAAGAUGUUAGAAUGGUUUGCCAUUUCCUUCUCUAGCUCUUUUUAUAGAGGAGGAAACUGAGGCAGACAGGAUUAAGUGACUUGCCCAGAGUCCCACAGCUAGGAAGUAUCUGAGGCUAGAUUUGAACUCCUGAAGAUGAAUCUUCCUGACUCCAAGCCUAGUGUUUUAUCCACUGCACCACUUAGCUGUCUUACUGGCACAGAGUAGUUCCAUAAUAAUUCUUGUAGAUUGACUGGUGAACAUAAUGCUAUGGAGGGAGGGGUUGUUGCCUGCAUUCACUGGACAAAAUGAAUAUAACCUUACACAAUGUACCCACAAGCAAUGACAUUUAGAGUCUGGGUAUGUACAGAAUUGUAAGGAUAGAAUUGAUACUUAAUUAACUCCAAAAGAACACAGCUUCAAGAAUCCUUUACUCAUGGACAGCCAGUUAAGUGAAUUGUAAUUUUUCUUGAAUGUGAGGAAACAGGAAUAUACAAGGAGGUGAACUCUAAGUGACCUGGAUUGAAGUCCUGGGAAACCUGCCAGGUACACACUCUCUUGCCCUAACUCCAUUAGUCACCAAAAAGAUAUCAGACCAAUAAACCCUCAAAGCCUUGUUCCUAUAACCCUGGAUAGCCCCUGAAAGAACUGUCAGAUGAAAACUGGGAGAUCAUUUGGCCCAAUCUCUUCAUUUUAAAGAGGGGGAAUCAAGAGAUUGCUGUCAAAUGAAGAGGUUGGCCCAGAUAAUCACUCAUCCCUCAAAUUUGAUAACUAGGAUUCCAAGAUUGGUAAUAAAAAGAGAGAAGCAGGAACAAAAAAAAAAUGCAGUCUAAGUCUAGUGGGUAUCAUCCCAAGUGGGAAUUCUUGCCUUUCUGAAUUACAGAUUAUAGCUUUGGUGAUAUGGCAAACAAGCUUCCCCAUUUCCACUUCCAAGAGAUGGGGAAAAAAGCACUUCCCCUUGGGGAAUUAGCUCUUACUAGCCAACAUCAGACAAAGAGUUGAGGCACUGAGGCAAAUCCAAUUCUUGACCCCUCUUCCUUUCUCCCUCCUUGCCCUUAAGUCUUUUUGAUUGUUAACAAAUCUCCCUUUCCUCCCAAUAGGGAAUACUUAAAGGAGGUUAUCUUCAUCCCAAAUGAACAGUAAUUGCUAGAUUCCUGUCCCUAUCAUUUUACUGGGGGGGGGAGGAAUUGUUCUUGUAAACCCUCUCCUUUUCUCUCCACCUCCUUUCCUCCACUAUACUGGAACUCUCUUAGCCAAAGACUCGGCAGUCUGCAGUCUUCUUCCUGAAGAAGGAUCUCUGAACUGUAUCUCUCUAUUGCACCACAGGAUGGGUUUAACCUGAUACAAAAUGAUGUAAAAAGGAUAUAGCCUGUGCAGAGUGGUACUUCUCAAAUAAGAGGCAAGGGGAGAUCAAAUUCAGUUUCACUGUUAAAAAAGGAACAGAAGGUUGGAGUCUGCAAUGGUGGACCUUGCUUUAAAAUAUUCUCCCAGAGGGAAGGAAAUAGAGCAAAAGGGACUCUUCUGAAAAUAAGGGGGAAAGGAGAAGAAGCAAGGAUAGAUCUGAUCCAGAUUGAAAAAUAAAAAGUUUAGAAUUAGCAAUAGGAGCUCACUUUAGAAUAUUCACCUAGAACUGUGUUGGUGAACCUAGGGCAUGUGUGCCAGAGGGGGCUUUCCCCCCUCCCCCUCUCCACACACACCUGGGGACAUUUCUGAUAUCACUCACCCCUCUGCCCAGUAGCCUAUUAGGAGCACUUCCUCCUUCUUCUGUCUAGGGUAAGCCAGGCAGGUGGCUAGAUCACAUGUGGUAUGAGGGUUGCAAUUUGGGCACUUGGUCUCUAAAAGGUUUGCCAUCACUGACCUAGGGGAAGGGAAAUAGAUUGGUUGAAAUAUUGGCCAGUAUUUCCCCAAAGUCAACUCAUAAAGUCAAGCUAGAUAGAGGGUUCAGAGCCUCAGACCAUUAGAGUGCUAGCUGCCCUUUUCUCCAUCUAAGAAGGUAUUCAUGAUGACUGGGGGGUGGAGGGUGGAAUAGGGUAGCCAUGGAAGAAAGGUGAUUGGUAGAAUGGCUUUGGAAUCCCUGAGAACCUGAGGUAAGCUAUUUUGGGCAUGAGGACUGGAGGGACAUGACUCAUCUUUUCCCUGGUCUCUUGGACCCUCCAUAAAUGUUUAUUGGUAACAAUGAGAGGAAAGGAAGAGAGGAAAGAGUAAGCCAGAGGCUGAAAGGCUGACCUGAUUGUUAGAGAUUGGUUGCCUGGUUGGGGCUGUCCUGUUCCAGGACUCCUUGGGACACCAACAUUCUAUGUUGCUAGGUGAUUCAUUGCAAAAAAAAUCCAUUUUUUUCCUUUUUGGAAAAAUUACCCCUAAGCAGGUGCUGAGUGAAUUACUUUUGCUCAAAAGGGCCUGGUAUUGAUUCUCCAUAAAUGAGGCUGAAUCUACUCUACCCUGAGCAAGUGAUAUUUGAAGCCAAUGAAGAUCACCCAUCACUAAAACUGCCUCACUGUACCAGAUGUAAUGAUCAAGAUUCUCAAGAGACACUACUUCUUAAUUUUAAAAUAAUUCAUUAAAUUAAUUCUCAAGA